rnacentral:lncRNA from 1 species
GCAAGAUCUGGAAAAUGAAAUUAACCAUAUUUAUCAAAUUGGGAGGAAGCAUGGCUAUAAAUAUGGAUUUAUGAAACAGAUACAAAGAAAAGUCAAAUUAAGCCUACUUAGCCCGCCCCAUGAAAGAGAUAAUGAAUCAAGGCAAGAGAGAGAUGAGAAAUACAAGGUAUUACCUCAAAGACUGGCUAACCAAGGGACUACUAGAACCAUCUUGAAUAAAACAAAGAAAAAAGUGACAGUACGUAGAGCCCCCACGGUAUUCAAUAGUGUAAGGAAUGACAAAGAAAAGAGGAGUCAAAUGCAGAGGUCAGGAGUUUAUAGGAUUCCUGUUAAGCUAGAAGAAAACAACCAACCCUC